rnacentral:lncRNA from 1 species
GCUUUAUUGUUUGAAUGAUCAUAUUCCAUUCCGUAAAUUCAGAACAUUAUAAUAUUUUGGCAACUCACAAACAACUGGUAAUUGGCAUUUCUCAAUACAAGUCUUCAAAAAUUCUAAUAAAAUGCUGCUUAAUUUAAAUUUAGCCUGUUCUCUGCUAGAUAUGAAGUAGGGCAUUUGAGUUAAUCAACUACUCUGAAUAAUAGAGUUACUAUCUAUAUCAUACAUACAAUGGGUUACACAUUUUUAAGAUGUUAGAAUCCAUUUUUAAAAUGUUAGAAUCCAUUUUUAAAAAUCAUUUUGUACAAACAAUACUGAGCAUAAUUAAACUGUUAGUGAUUCAACAAACACAAAAUUACCUCAUUUGAGUACCUUUAAAUUCAUAAUGAGCAUCAAUUGUCAAUGUACUAUUAGUGUACAGAAGGGCUGGGGAAGCUAAGUUUUGGUGGACAGGAUUUCACCUAAGAGCAUUUCUAGUUAGUGUCCCAAAGGGCAAGGGUAGUGUCAGCUUACCUGGGAAAUUGGAGUUUCAUUUAAACAAUGUUCAAAACACAUUUUGUAUUGAGUCUCAGUGAUAAGAGGAUUGCCUUUAUUUUCACCUCUUUCCUCCUCCACGACAACCUAUCCCAAUCUAAUUUGUAAAGCCUUAUUAGUGUAUGCACACAUGCAUGUACACAAAGAGUGUUUGGCUUAUAUUUAUACAGAUUUUUAGAGUCUACACCUGUUUUCUUUCUCUUCCAAGACCUUUCAAGCUUUUCUUUUUAGAAGUCAUAGUAGCCAUUCACAGAAAUAUCAUGACUAGCAUGGUAUAUAAAACACAUUCUAUAUAAUAGAUAUUAUGGUACUGUGAAUGCAAAUAGUUUUACACAAACUCUGAAAGCAAUUUUUAAUUUCUGUGCAUAAGUUGAAAUGCAAAAGUGUUUGUUUUUCAUUACAGCUGAUUUCAAAAGUAAGGGCCUUAAAAAGUUAAUACAGUUAAAUUUUAAUUUAACCUAGAAUUAUGGAACUGUACUCUCAGCAUAUAACCCACCCCCCACCUUGCCAUAUACACGCCCCCACACAUACUGUAUCACAAAAGAGAGAAAGAAAAACACCUACGCUGAACUUAACUUACCACAUUUUUAUUAUCAUGGUUAAGGUUUACCCAGGACUUUCAACCAUCUUGCAAAUUCCAAUGACAGUCAAAAGUAAGUAAAGUAGUUCAAAAGCAGAGCAAGCUGACUCAUAAAGAGCCCUGCUUCCGAGAACAAUAGCAAAGGGUGUCCUUCUAAGCUCAGAAAUGAAGAAAAAGAAGUUUGAGCUA